rnacentral:rRNA from 1 species
AUUGAACGCUGGCGGCAGGCCUAACACAUGCAAGUCGAAUGGUAACAGGAAACAGCUUGCUGUUUCGCUGACGAGUGGCGGACGGGUGAGUAAUGUCUGGGAAACUGCCUGAUGGAGGGGGAUAACUACUGGAAACGGUAGCUAAUACCGCAUAACGUCGCAAGACCAAAGAGGGGGACCUUCGGGCCUCUUGCCAUCAGAUGUGCCCAGAUGGGAUUAGCUAGUAGGUGGGGUAACGGCUCACCUAGGCGACGAUCCCUAGCUGGUCUGAGAGGAUGACCAGCCACACUGGAACUGAGACACGGUCCAGACUCCUACGGGAGGCAGCAGUGGGGAAUAUUGCACAAUGGGCGCAAGCCUGAUGCAGCCAUGCCGCGUGUAUGAAGAAGGCCUUCGGGUUGUAAACUACUUUCAGCGGGGAGGAAGGGAGUAAAGUUAAUACCUUUGCUCAUUGACGUUACCCGCAGAAGAAGCACCGGCUAACUCCGUG